UUAAGUGACUAAGCGUACACGGUGGAUGCCUUGGCAGUCAGAGGCGAUGAAAGACGUAGUAACUUGCGAUAAGCCCAGAUUAGGUAGUAACAACCAUUUGAGUCUGGGAUUUCUGAAUGGGGAAACCCACGUGCAUAAGCACGUAUCCUUACCUGAAUACAUAGGGUAAGGAGGCGAACCGGGGGAACUGAAACAUCUAAGUACCCCGAGGAAAAGAAAUCAACCGAGAUUCCGAAAGUAGCGGCGAGCGAAAUUGGACUAGCCCUUAAGCUUUACACGCGUUAGACGAACGGUCUGGAAAGUCCGACGAUACAGGGUGAUAGUCCCGUAGUUGACGACGUGUGUUCAGUGAAAUCGAGUAGGGCGGGACACGUGAUAUCCUGUCUGAAUAUGGGGGGACCAUCCUCCAAGGCUAAAUACUACUGACUGACCGAUAGUGAACCAGUACCGUGAGGGAAAGGCGAAAAGAACCCCUGUGAGGGGAGUGAAAUAGAACCUGAAACCGUGUACGUACAAGCAGUAGGAGCAGGCUUGUCCUGUGACUGCGUACCUUUUGUAUAAUGGGUCAGCGACUUAUAUUCAGUGGCAAGGUUAACCAUCUAGGGGAGCCGUAGGGAAACCGAGUCUUAACUGGGCGUUCAGUCUCUGGAUAUAGACCCGAAACCAGGUGAUCUAGCCAUGGGCAGGUUGAAGGUUGAGUAACAUCAACUGGAGGACCGAACCGACUAAUGUUGAAAAAUUAGCGGAUGACUUGUGGCUAGGGGUGAAAGGCCAAUCAAACCUGGAGAUAGCUGGUUCUCCCCGAAAGCUAUUUAGGUAGCGCCUCGGACGAAUACUACUGGGGGUAGAGCACUGUUAAGGCUAGGGGGUCAUCCCGACUUACCAACCCUUUGCAAACUCCGAAUACCAGUAAGUACUAUCCGGGAGACACACGGCGGGUGCUAACGUCCGUCGUGGAGAGGGAAACAACCCAGACCGCCAGCUAAGGUCCCAAAUUACUACUAAGUGGGAAACGAUGUGGGAAGGCUCAGACAGCCAGGAUGUUGGCUUAGAAGCAGCCAUCAUUUAAAGAAAGCGUAAUAGCUCACUGGUCGAGUCGGCCUGCGCGGAAGAUGUAACGGGGCUAAGUAGUAAACCGAAGCUGCGGCAAUGUGCUUUUGCACAUUGGGUAGGGGAGCGUUCUGUAAGCGGUUGAAGGUGUGUGGUAACGCAUGCUGGACGUAUCAGAAGUGCGAAUGCUGACAUGAGUAACGAUAAAGGGGGUGAAAAACCUCCUCGCCGGAAGACCAAGGGUUCCUGUCCAACGUUAAUCGGGGCAGGGUAAGUCGACCCCUAAGGCGAGGCCGAAAGGCGUAGUCGAUGGGAAACGGGUUAAUAUUCCCGUACUUCUUACAAUUGCGAUGGGGGGACGGAGAAGGCUAGGUGGGCCUGGCGACGGUUGUCCAGGUUCAAGUGCGUAGGCUUAAGAGUUAGGUAAAUCCGGCUCUUUCUAAGGCUGAGACACGACGUCGAGCACCUACGGGUGUGAAGUCAUUGAUGCCAUGCUUCCAGGAAAAGCCUCUAAGCUUCAGAUUGUAAGGAAUCGUACCCCAAACCGACACAGGUGGUCGGGUAGAGAAUACCAAGGCGCUUGAGAGAACUCGGGUGAAGGAACUAGGCAAAAUGGUACCGUAACUUCGGGAGAAGGUACGCUCUUGAUGGUGAAGUCCCUUGCGGAUGGAGCUAUUGAGAGUCGCAGAUACCAGGUGGCUGCAACUGUUUAUUAAAAACACAGCACUGUGCAAAAUCGUAAGAUGACGUAUACGGUGUGACGCCUGCCCGGUGCCGGAAGGUUAAUUGAUGGGGUUAGACUUCGGUCGAAGCUCUUGAUCGAAGCCCCGGUAAACGGCGGCCGUAACUAUAACGGUCCUAAGGUAGCGAAAUUCCUUGUCGGGUAAGUUCCGACCUGCACGAAUGGCGUAAUGAUGGCCACGCUGUCUCCACCCGAGACUCAGUGAAAUUGAAAUCGCUGUGAAGAUGCAGUGUACCCGCGGCUAGACGGAAAGACCCCGUGAACCUUUACUACAGCUUGGCACUGAACAUUGACCCUACAUGUGUAGGAUAGGUGGGAGGCUUUGAAGCACGUACGCCAGUAUGUGUGGAGCCGUCCUUGAAAUACCACCCUUGUAGUGUUGAUGUUCUAACGUCGACCCCUUAUCGGGGUUGCGGACAGUGCCUGGUGGGUAGUUUGACUGGGGCGGUCUCCUCCCAAAGAGUAACGGAGGAGCACGAAGGUGGGCUAAUCACGGUUGGACAUCGUGAGGUUAGUGCAAUGGCAUAAGCCCGCUUGACUGCGAGAAUGACAAUUCGAGCAGGUGCGAAAGCAGGUCAUAGUGAUCCGGUGGUUCUGAAUGGAAGGGCCAUCGCUCAACGGAUAAAAGGUACUCCGGGGAUAACAGGCUGAUACCGCCCAAGAGUUCAUAUCGACGGCGGUGUUUGGCACCUCGAUGUCGGCUCAUCACAUCCUGGGGCUGAAGUCGGUCCCAAGGGUAUGGCUGUUCGCCAUUUAAAGUGGUACGCGAGCUGGGUUUAGAACGUCGUGAGACAGUUCGGUCCCUAUCUGCCGUGGGCGUUGGAAGAUUGAAGGGGGCUGCUCCUAGUACGAGAGGACCGGAGUGGACGAACCUCUGGUGUUCGGGUUGUGUCGCCAGACGCAUUGCCCGGUAGCUAAGUUCGGAAUCGAUAACCGCUGAAAGCAUCUAAGCGGGAAGCGAGCCCUGAGAUGAGUCUUCCCUGAUACUUUAAGUAUCCUAAAGGGUUGUCGGAGACUACGACGUUGAUAGGUCAGGUGUGUAAGUGCUGUGAGGCAUUGAGCUAACUGAUACUAAUUGCCCGUGAGGCUUAACC
rnacentral:rRNA from 1 species